AUCCGGCUGACGAGUCGCAAACAGGACGAAACACGUGUCAUGGAU
rnacentral:hammerhead_ribozyme from 1 species